rnacentral:rRNA from 31 species
AAAACGACUCUCGGCAACGGAUAUCUCGGCUCUCGCAUCGAUGAAGAACGCAGCAAAAUGCGAUACUUGGUGUGAAUUGCAGAAUCCCGUGAAUCAUCGAGUUUUUGAACGCAAGUUGCGCCCGAAGCCUUCCGGCCAAGGGCACGUCUGCCUGGGUGUCACGC